rfam:Struthio camelus australis contig3316, whole genome shotgun sequence.
UAUCUUUGACCUAUUAUUAGAGAAUCAAACAUAUUUUCAAAUGGUGCUUUGCACAGCCAGUGAUGUAUCUGUGUUUGAUGCCAUUAUUCUUCACAAAAUGUGAUAAUAAUAUUAUCUGUUAACAUAAAAACAAAGUUUGACUCCACAGAAACAGCUGGAAAUGGAUAACCACAAUAGGCUUAAAUCUGUUAGGAACGCACAGUUUGACGUAUACUGCUAGAAGUUUCUCAUAUUUAGGAAUUCUUUUAAGGAAAAUACUUGCAUUGAGUUUCAGCUGGUGUGUAUGUGUAUAAAUAUGGGGAGUAUUCAUUUCUCAGUGGUAACCUGGA